UAAUACAGAGGGUGCAAGCGUUGUCCGGAAUCACUGGGCGUAAAGGGCGCGUAGGCGGCCUGAUAAGUAGGAGGUGAAAUCCUGGGGCUUAACCUCAGGGCUGCCUUCUAGACUGUCCGGCUCGAGCACAGUAGAGGCAGGUGGAAUUCCCGGUGUAGCGGUGGAAUGCGUAGAGAUCGGGAAGAACAUCGGUGGCGAAGGCGGCCUGCUGGGCUGUUGCUGACGCUGAGGCGCGACAGCGUGGGGAGCAAACAGGAUUAGAUACCCUGGUAGUCCACGCCGUAAACGAUGGGUACUAGGCGUCGGGGGGAGCGACCCCCUCGGUGCCGUCGCUAACGCAGUAAGUACCCCGCCUGGGGAGUACGGCCGCAAGGCUG
rnacentral:rRNA from 1 species